rnacentral:tRNA from 1 species
AGGGGUAUAGCUCAGUGGUAGAGCAUAUGCUUAGUAUGCAUGAGGUCCUGAGUUCAAUCCCCAGUGCCUCCA